GACGAACGCUGGCGGCGUGCUUAACACAUGCAAGUCGAACGAAGUGGCGAACGGGUGAGUAACGCGUAAUCAACCUCCCCUUCAGAGGGGGAAAACAGUUGGAAACGACUGCUAAUCCCGCAUACUGAAGGACGGGAUUGUGUCUGAUUAGCUAGCUGGGGGGGCAACGGCCCACCAAGGCGAUUAUCAGUAGCCGGGCUGAGAGGAUGAACGGGCACAGUGGGACUGAGAAACGGCCCAGACUCCUACGGGAGGCAGCAGUGGGGAAUCUUCCGCAAUGGACGAAAGUCUGACGGAGCAACGCCGCGGGAGUGAUGACGGCCUUCGGGUUGUAAAGCUCUGUUAAUCGGGACGCGGUACCGGAAUAGAAAGCCACGGCUAACUACGUGCCAGCAGCCGCGGUAAUAC
rnacentral:rRNA from 1 species